rnacentral:lncRNA from 1 species
UAGGAGGGUUGGUGAGGAAUUCGUGAGGUAGCUUUGGAAUUAUGCUGUCCUGAAUUGAUUUUGUCUUAUUUUGGGUUCAUUAAUCAAUGGAAACAGAGGAGUGAAUUAAACGAUGCCAAGCUAUAACGCUGGAAUAAGAGGAAGCAGAUAAGAUAACAACUUUCGUGAGCAGUAUUGAGGAAGAACGCGGCACAGGUGGUGGCGAAAUGUUUGGUAGGAAACAUACUGCACAACAGAGAGAGGGGUUAAUAGAGAAAGACUUAGAAUUGCUCUCCAACAAGCAUGGCGUACUAUAAAAGAAGUGAAGAUUGAGAGUUUGGGUAGCCAUAUUUUCAUGUUCCAAGUUUGUUCAACAAGCAUGGCGUACACAAGACAAAUAGGGAAGUAAUGGUAGCUCUGUGUUGGUGUAAUCUGGACAGCAAGGAAUAAGCUACUGUUCAAAAGGGAAAAGAGAAGAUCCAGUUAGUUUGAUGGCUAGAGCUGAGUCUGCUGUGGAAUCUUUCAAGAGAAUAAAGCAACCUGAAAUUGAUUAUGCUGCAAGAAAGGAAGAAGUCAGACAAACAACAAGAGGUUGUGGGGAGCAGGUCUGAAAUUUAAUGGGCAACAGCUGAAGUUCAAGCAAGGGAACAUGAUUUUCAAGAUUUCAAAGUCCAGCAUGUUAAUAGAUUUUGUAAUUCAUUAGCUCACUCCUUUGGCCAAAAUGGCCUUUGGAGAAAAAUGAUGAGAGUCAGGUUGGAUCACAUUCCUCCUGAGAUUUUGUACAUUGUUAAUUGUUGAACAAUGAAAGGAUUACUUUUUAAUUGAAAAAGAAAAAAGAAAAUCAG